rnacentral:rRNA from 1 species
GACGAACGCUGGCGGCGUGCUUAACACAUGCAAGUCGAACGGAAAGGCCCUGCUUUUGUGGGGUGCUCGAUUGGCGAACGGGGGAGUAACACGUGAGUAACCUGCCCUUGACUUUGGGAUAACUUCAGGAAACUGGGGCUAAUACCGGAUAUGAGCUCCUGCUGCAUGGUGGGGGUUGGAAAGUUUCGGCGGUUGGGGAUGGACUCGCGGCUUAUCAGCUUGCUGGUGGGGUAGUGGCUUACCAAGGCUUUGACGGGUAGCCGGCCUGAGAGGGUGACCGGCCACAUUGGGCCUGCGAUACGGCCCAGACUCCUACGGGAGGCAGCAGUGGGGAAUAUAGCACAAUGGGCGGAAGCCUGAUGCAGAAACGCCGCGUGCGGGAUGCCGGCCUUCGGGUUGUAAACCGCUUUCGCCUGUGACGAAGCGUGAGUGACGGUAAUGGGUAAAGAAGCACCGGCUAACUACGUG